rnacentral:rRNA from 1 species
UACGGGAGGCAGCAGUGGGGAAUAUUGCACAAUGGGCGCAAGCCUGAUGCAGCCAUGCCGCGUGUAUGAAGAAGGCCUUCGGGUUGUAAAGUACUUUCAGUCGUGAGGAAGGUGUUAAGGUUAAUAACCUUAGCAAUUGACGUUAGCGACAGAAGAAGCACCGGCUAACUCCGUGCCAACAGCCGCGGUAAUACGGAGGGUGCGAGCGUUAAUCGGAAUUACUGGGCGUAAAGGGCACGCAGGCGGUUAAUUAAGUUGGAUGUGAAAUCCCCGGGCUUAACCUGGGAAUGGCAUUCAAGACUGGUUAGCUAGAGUCUUGUAGAGGGGGUAGAAUUCCAUGUGUAGCGGUGAAAUGCGUAGAGAUGUGGAGGAAUACCGGUGGCGAAGGCGGCCCCUGGACAAAGACUGACGCUCAUGUGCGAAAGCGUGGGGAGCGAAACAGGGAUUAGAUACC